UACGUAGGGGGCGAGCGUUAUCCGGAUUUACUGGGCGUAAAGAGUGCGUAGGCGGCUUUUCAAGUCAGAUGUGAAAUCUCCCGGCUUAACUGGGAGAGGCCAUUUGAUACUGUUGAGCUGGAGUGCAGCAGAGGGAGGUGGAAUUCCCGGUGUAGUGGUGAAAUGCGUAGAUAUCGGGAGGAACACCAGUGGCGAAGGCGGCCUCCUGGGCUGUUACUGACGCUGAGGCACGAAGGCGUGGGGAGCAAACAGGAUUAGAUACCCUGGUA
rnacentral:rRNA from 1 species